CACACUAUCAUUAACUGAAUCCAUAGGUUAAUGAGGCGAACCGGGGGAACUGAAACAUCUAAGUACCCCGAGGAAAAGAAAUCAACCGAGAUUCCCCCAGUAGCGGCGAGCGAACGGGGAGCAGCCCAGAGCCUGAAUCAGUGUGUGUGUUAGUGGAAGCGUCUGGAAAGGCGCGCGAUACAGGGUGACAGCCCCGUACACAAAAAUGCACAUACUGUGAGCUCGAUGAGUAGGGCGGGACACGUGGUAUCCUGUCUGAAUAUGGGGGGACCAUCCUCCAAGGCUAAAUACUCCUGACUGACCGAUAGUGAACCAGUACCGUGAGGGAAAGGCGAAAAGAACCCCGGCGAGGGGAGUGAAAAAGAACCUGAAACCGUGUACGUACAAGCAGUGGGAGCCUCUUUAUGGGGUGACUGCGUACCUUUUGUAUAAUGGGUCAGCGACUUAUAUUCUGUAGCAAGGUUAACCGAAUAGGGGAGCCGAAGGGAAACCGAGUCUUAACUGGGCGUUAAGUUGCAGGGUAUAGACCCGAAACCCGGUGAUCUAGCCAUGGGCAGGUUGAAGGUUGGGUAACACUAACUGGAGGACCGAACCGACUAAUGUUGAAAAAUUAGCGGAUGACUUGUGGCUGGGGGUGAAAGGCCAAUCAAACCGGGAGAUAGCUGGUUCUCCCCGAAAGCUAUUUAGGUAGCGCCUCGUGAAUUCAUCUCCGGGGGUAGAGCACUGUUUCGGCAAGGGGGUCAUCCCGACUUACCAACCCGAUGCAAACUGCGAAUACCGGAGAAUGUUAUCACGGGAGACACACGGCGGGUGCUAACGUCCGUCGUGAAGAGGGAAACAACCCAGACCGCCAGCUAAGGUCCCAAAGUCAUGGUUAAGUGGGAAACGAUGUGGGAAGGCCCAGACAGCCAGGAUGUUGGCUUAGAAGCAGCCAUCAUUUAAAGAAAGCGUAAUAGCUCACUGGUCGAGUCGGCCUGCGCGGAAGAUGUAACGGGGCUAAACCAUGCACCGAAGCUGCGGCAGCGACACUAUGUGUUGUUGGGUAGGGGAGCGUUCUGUAAGCCUGUGAAGGUGUGCUGUGAGGUAUGCUGGAGGUAUCAGAAGUGCGAAUGCUGACAUAAGUAACGAUAAAGCGGGUGAAAAGCCCGCUCGCCGGAAGACCAAGGGUUCCUGUCCAACGUUAAUCGGGGCAGGGUGAGUCGACCCCUAAGGCGAGGCCGAAAGGCGUAGUCGAUGGGAAACAGGUUAAUAUUCCUGUACUUGGUGUUACUGCGAAGGGGGGACGGAGAAGGCUAUGUUGGCCGGGCGACGGUUGUCCCGGUUUAAGCGUGUAGGCUGGUUUUCCAGGCAAAUCCGGAAAAUCAAGGCUGAGGCGUGAUGACGAGGCACUACGGUGCUGAAG
rnacentral:rRNA from 1 species